AUGCGUGAUCAGGUCAGCAUCGACCUGGACGGCUUCCCCCUCGACCACGAGUUCCCGAACGACUACGGGCAAGAGGAAGAGGACGAGUGCGACAUCAACGUGGAGCCCUUGUUCGAGGACGAGCUCGCCAACCAAGCCGCCGGUCCUAAGCUGAAGCACAAGAGCAAGCGUACGAAGGCGUACACGACGGCCGAGGACAAGCUUCUUUGCGAGUGUUGGCGAGACAUUGGACAAGACCCCAAGACGGGCACUAAGCAAAAGCACUCAACCUUUUGGACUCGUGUCCACCGAGAGUUUCAUGAGCGCAAGAAGUUUCCGCCGUACCAAUUUGUGAGCACGCGCGGGUGGGUCUCCAUUUCCAAGCAGUGGAGGGUGAUCCAACAAGAGUGCAAUAAGUUUUGCGCCACUCUUGAGAGCGUCAAGGCCCGCCCCGUGAGCGGCAUCGGCAUGCAAGACAUGGUAUGCUAG
rnacentral:rRNA from 1 species